rnacentral:rRNA from 1 species
CACUGCAUGUCUAAGUAUAAGCAAAAAUACAGCAAAACUGCAAAUGGCUCAUUAAAACAGUUAUGGUUUACUUGAUAAUAGUUUUUACAUGGAUAACCGUGGUAAUUCUACAGCUAAUACAUGAGCAAAAUCUCAACUUUAUUAGAAGAGACGCAUUUAUUAGAUAAAAAGCCAAUGCAUGCUUUUACAGUAUGGAAAUUGGUGAUUUAUAAUAACUUGGCAAAUCGCAAAGUGAAAACAGGCGAUAAAUCAUUCAAGUUUCUGACCUAUCAGCUUUCGACGGUAUGGUAUUGGCUUACCGUGGCAGUGACGGUUAACGGGGGAUUAGGGUUCGAUUCCGGAGAGGGAGCCUGAGAAACGGCUACCACAUCUAAGGAAGGCAGCAGGCGCGCAAAUUACCCAAUUCUAACAGUUUGAGAGAGGUAGUAACAAGAAAUAACAAUACAAGGCAAUUAAAAUGCUUUGUAAUUGGAAUGAUAGAAAUUUAAACCCUUUUUAAAGUAUCAAUUGGAGGGCAAGUCUGGUGCCAGCAGCCGCGGUAAUUCCAGCUCCAAUAGCGUAUAUUAAAAUUGUUGCAGUUAAAAAGCUCGUAGUUGAAGUUCUGCUAAAAGUAACCGGUCUGCUUUUAAUAAAAGUGGUAUCUUGGUGUGUAUUUAGCAAUGAUGUCCUUUGAAGUGUUUUUUACUUUAUUGUAAUAAAGCAUAUUCAGGACUUUUACUUUGAGAAAAUUAGAGUGUUUCUAGCAGGCCGACGCUUUGAAUACUGCAGCAUGGAAUAAUAAGAUAGGAUUUUAGUUCUACAUUAUUGGUUUUAAGAGCUAAAUUAAUGAUUGAUAGGGACAGUUGGGGGCAUUUGUAUUUAACUGUCAGAGGUGAAAUUCUUAGAUUUGUUAAAGACAAACUACUGCGAAAGCAUUUGCCAAAGAUGUUUUCAUUAAUCAAGAACGAAAGUUAGGGGAUCGAAGACGAUCAGAUACCGUCGUAGUCUUA